rnacentral:rRNA from 2 species
UACAGAGGUCUCAACCGUUGUUCGGAUUCAUUGGGCGUAAAGGGUGCGUAGGCGGUCGCGCAAGUCGGAUGUGAAAUCUCAGGGCUCAACCCUGAAACUGCAUUCGAUACUGCGUGGCUAGAGUACUGGAGAGGAGACUGGAAUUUACGGUGUAGCAGUGAAAUGCGUAGAUAUCGUAAGGAAGACCAGUGGCGAAGGCGAGUCUCUGGACAGUAACUGACGCUGAGGCACGAAGGCCAGGGGAGCAAACGGG